AAGUCGUAACAAGGUCUCCGUAGGUGAACCUGCGGAGGGAUCAUUACCGAGUUAGGGUCCCCCCCGGGGGGGCCCGACCUCUCCACCCAUUGCUGUCUCUCAACCUUUUAACGUUGCCUCGGGGGGCCCCCGGCGAGAGCCGACCCCCGGGUACCCAAAACCAACCUCCGCAUCUUCAGUCGUCCGAGUCAAACUUAUGAAUUUAAACAAAA
rnacentral:misc_RNA from 1 species